AAUCAUGACCUAUAGAACAAUUCUUUAUUGUGUUAAACCUUCCCAUGUACUAUGGGACAUAAAACACAGCUGACCCCCCUGCCCACUAGUUGCCAGCAACACCUCCAACCAUUUUUCUAAAACCACUGCUCCAAGCCAAUCAUAUGGGUUCUAUCACUGCCACCGUCACCAGUAUCUGGCUCAUAAAUCCAGGCUUCACUGUCCAGUGCCUGGCUGUGGUUGGUUUGGGAAGAGGAAACAUGAUGUAAUGUCAGCCAAUGAAACACAGAGCAAGUUUGCUGGGCGCCUGGCAGGAAGUUUCCUAGGAGAAAACCACAGGACAGACAGUUUCUUUCUUUUUCUCUUCAUGAUUACAAAUGGAUAUGAGGCCUGAAAAUUCUAAGCUCAUCUCAGAACCAGCUGGAAGAUGAAGUGAACAAGCAGGAGGGCAGAGCCAGAAGCACAGGAGAACUGAGGAUACUGAGAAUCAGAAAGGCCGUUAACAUGCUACUUGACAAGCAAACUACCCCUUACCCUCAAGAUUCUAGCUCCAUUCAUGAUUCACGGUGGAAAUAUAAGAGUUCACAAGCAGGCAGAGAGCGAGGAAGGGAACCAGACU